rnacentral:rRNA from 1 species
AUGGCGACCGGCGCACGGGUGAGUAACGCGUAUGCAACUUACCUAUCAGAGGGGAUAGCCCGGCGAAAGUCGGAUUAAUACCCCAUAAAACAGGGGUCCCGCAUGGGAAUAUUUGUUAAAGAUUCAUCGCUGAUAGAUAGGCAUGCGUUCCAUUAGGCAGUUGGCGGGGUAACGGCCCACCAAACCGACGAUGGAUAGGGGUUCUGAGAGGAAGGUCCCCCACAUUGGUACUGAGACACGGACCAA